UCGGGAAUUUUGCUCAAUGGGCGAAAGCCUGAAGCAGCAACGCCGCGUGAGGGAUGAAGGCCUUCGGGUUGUAAACCUCUUUUCUCAGGGACGAUGAUGACGGUACCUGAGGAAUAAGCCACGGCUAACUACGUGCCAGCAGCCGCGGUAAUACGUAGGUGGCAAGCGUUGUCCGGAUUUACUGGGCGUAAAGAGCGCGCAGGCGGUCGUGCAAGUCGAGUGUGAAAGCCCCCGGCUCAACUGGGGAGGGUCACUCGAUACUGCUCGACUCGAAGGCGGGAGAGGGAAGUGGAAUUCCCGGUGUAGUGGUGAAAUGCGUAGAUAUCGGGAGGAACACCAGUGGCGAAGGCGACUUCCUGGCCCGUUCUUGACGCUGAGGCGCGAAAGCUAGGGGAGCAAACGGG
rnacentral:rRNA from 1 species